ACGAUGAGGCUUAGAAUAUAAGGAAAUGAAGAAUAGUUUAUGAUUAUGCCACCGAGACGAAAACAAAAACCAGCCGUGGAAGAUCAACCAGAUAAUCGAACGACGAACGCCAAAGACUUCAAGGCAAUCCUAUUGCUAGGGUAUAGAGGAUUAAGUGACUCAGUAGAAGCGUUUAUGAUAGUUAGGAUAACGGAAAGGGCGAAAGAUAACUUUAUCACCUAUACGAUAAAAGAGAAAUGAGAUAAAGAAAAAGUUUAUGUGCUAUGUGUGUGGGCAGAAGAGACAUAUCUCUUCCAAUUGUCCCAAUUCAAGAAUGUGUAGCGAACGUUUUAUUUGUGAAUCAAUGGAGUAUAAGGUGAAAGAUUAUUCAAGAAGGAG
rnacentral:lncRNA from 1 species